AGGGAAGAGAGAAAGAGGAGGGGAAGCAGGAGAGGAGAGAGCCAGGAAAAGCAUCUCUGCUUCCUUCUUCCUCCUCAAGAUGCCAGGUGGGAAACACAGUGACUGCUCAGUAGCUGCUGGAAGAGCCCAGAAGGAAGGAUGGUGAUGCUUGUGUGAUACUUCAAUGUCUGUUCACUCAGUAGGACUUUCAACCCAGUCGGUGCAGUGGGAUUAUCCAGAGAGGGGAAGACAUCAACACCACAUCAACACUUCAUUGCCAGAUAACACCACUGAAGAACUGGGACUCAAGGACUUGAGAUGACUACAAACUGGGAGAGGGGGCUUCCAUGCUCAAAACAGAGAAGAGCAUCCAUGGGGUUUGGUCAAGGGGGGGAUGCUGGGGGGCUGGAGCUGCUGAGGAGGUUGUAGGAUGUGAGAUUUGUCCUGCUGUCCCAGCAUGGGUCAUCAUGCUGUCUGCCCUGGACUCGCAAGAUUAGCUACAGCCAGGCUGGUGGAUGGAGACUCAGGGCUGAGACCCCACCUCCCCCAACCGCCAUUCCUGGUUUCACAGCACAGCUGCCAGCAAACCCGUUCUUUUGGGUGUUUGGCUCCAGAUGUCCAAACCCAAGGACAUCAUGUCAGCAUGUUUCUCCGCUGACUGUAAAAGAACAGCUGCAUCUUCUAGAAGACCCUUCCAAGUCCAUUGCUUGUUAGGAUGAUUAUAGUGUUUUACUCGUAAGCUGGUUACGCCUCUUGGGCCCCUUUUUGAGAUUCCAUCCUCGAACACAAGGGGAUGAUAUUUUGAGACACAGAAUGUUAGAGGAGAAUGGAUUUUGGAGCUCAUGUGAUCCUACACACUCAUUAGUGAUUGAGGGGAGGGGUGAUGGGUAGUGGAGGGAGGGAGGUAGAAAGGUCACAUAACUUCCUUGAGGUCACCUGCAGAUGUGGUUGGUGGCAGAGAUGUGACUGGUCUUUUCCCUCUAUAACAUACUUUCUUGUUCAAAGUUUUUAAAAAAUGAAUUUAAAACGAAAAAUUUUUAGUUUUAUUCCAGAAAUACAGAAAUGGAUAAAAGAAAGAUAAAAGGAAAUGCAUACCCAGAGUGCUACCACCCCACGGUCAUUGUUAAUAUUUCCUUCCAAUUUUUAUGUUACUU